AAUAAGUACAGUUUUAGCAUUGUUCAUGUCCAACGUUUGACCGUUUGUCUUAUUUGAAAAAAGAUUAUGAUUAGUAUUUUUAUUGUUAUUAGAUGAUAAAACAUGAAUAGUAUUUUAUGUGUGACUAUUUUUUAAAUAUUUUUUACAAUUUUUUAAAUAAGAUGGAUAAUUAAAACGCUCAUCACGUAUAUUUAUGGCUGCACUUAUU
rfam:Oryza sativa (indica cultivar-group) chromosome 2, whole genome shotgun sequence.